rnacentral:rRNA from 1 species
UUCUGGCUCAGGAUGAACGCUAGCGACAGGCUAACACAUGCAAGUCGAGGGGCAGCAUAAAAGUAGCAAUACUUGGUGGCGACCGGCGCACGGGUGAGUAACGCGUAUGCAACCUACCUAUCAGAGGGGAAUAACCCGGCGAAAGUCGGACUAAUACCGCAUAAAACAGGGACACCGCAUGGUGAUAUUUGUUAAAGAAAUUCGCUGAUAGAUGGGCAUGCGUUCCAUUAGGUAGUUGGUGAGGUAACGGCUCACCAAGCCGACGAUGGAUAGGGGAACUGAGAGGUUGGUCCCCCACACUGGUACUGAGACACGGACCAGACUCCUACGGGAGGCAGCAGUGAGGAAUAUUGGUCAAUGGGCGAGAGCCUGAACCAGCCAAGUCGCGUGAAGGAAGAAGGAUCUAUGGUUCGUAAACUUCUUUUGCAGGGGAAUAAAGUGCAGGACGUGUCCUGUUUUGUAUGUACCCUGAGAAUAAGGAUCGGCUAACUCCGUGCCAGCCGCCGC